rnacentral:rRNA from 1 species
GAAACGCCGACUAAUCCCCGAUGGGAUACGAUGCUUCAUGGCAUUGUAUUGAAAGUUACGGCGGCGACGGAUUGGCUCGCGUCCGAUUAGCUUGUUGGCGGGGUAACGGCCCACCAAGGCUACGAUCGGUAGGGGUUCUGAGAGGAAGGCCCCCCACAAUGGGACUGAGACACGGCCCAUACUCCUACGGGAGGCAGCAGUGAGGAAUACUGGUCAAUGGGCGGAAGCCUGAACCAGCCAUGCCGCGUGCGGGAAGGAGGCCCUAUGGGCUGUGAACCGCUUUUGCCUGGGGGCAAUAAGGGCGUCGCGCACGUCCGAUGAGAGUACCAGGCGAAUAAGCAUCGGCUAACUCCGUGCCAGCAGCCGCGGUAAUACGGGGGAUGCGAGCGUUAUCCGGAUUCAUUGGGUUUAAAGGGUGCGUAGGCUGUGCGUCAAGUCGGGGGUGAAAUUCCGGUGCUCAACACCGGGGCUGCCCUUGAUACUGUCGCGCUGGAGUGCGGAUGCCGCCGGAGGAAUGAGUGGUGUAGCGGUGAAAUGCUUAGAUAUCACUCAGAACACCGAUUGCGAAGGCAUCUGGCGAAUCCGUAACUGACGCUGAGGCACGAAAGCGUGGGGAUAGAACAGGAUUAGAUACCCUGGUAUUCCACGCCGUAAACGAUGAUGGCUAACCGCCGGCGACACACUGUCGGUGGC